UACGGGGGGGGCAAGCGUUGUUCGGAAUUACUGGGCGUAAAGGGUUUGUAGGUGGCCAACUAAGUCAGACGUGAAAUCCCUCAGCUUAACUGGGGAACUGCGUCUGAUACUGGUUGGCUUGAGUGCAGGAGAGGAACGCGGAAUUCCAGGUGUAGCGGUGAAAUGCGUAGAUAUCUGGAGGAACACCGGUGGCGAAGGCGGCGUUCUGGACUGCAACUGACACUGAGAAGCGAAAGCCAGGGGAGCAAACGGG
rnacentral:rRNA from 1 species